rnacentral:tRNA from 1 species
ACCUCGCUGGCUUAGUCAGUAGAGCAUGUGACUCCAGAUCUUGGAAUUGUGAGUUCAAGCCCCAUGCAGGGUG